AUUGAACGCUGGCGGCAGGCCUAACACAUGCAAGUCGAGCGGAUGAAGGGAGCUUGCUCCUGGAUUCAGCGGCGGACGGGUGAGUAAUGCCUAGGAAUCUGCCUGGUAGUGGGGGAUAACGUCCGGAAACGGGCGCUAAUACCGCAUACGUCCUGAGGGAGAAAGUGGGGGAUCUUCGGACCUCACGCUAUCAGAUGAGCCUAGGUCGGAUUAGCUAGUUGGUGGGGUAAAGGCCUACCAAGGCGACGAUCCGUAACUGGUCGGAGAGGAUGAUCAGUCACACUGGAACUGAGACACGGUCCAGACUCCUACGGGAGGCAGCAGUGGGGAAUAUUGGACAAAGGGCGAAAGCCUGAUCCAGCCAUGCCGCGUGUGUGAAGAAGGUCUUCGGAUUGUAAAGCACUUUAAGUUGGGAGGAAGGGCAGUAAGUUAAUACCUUGCUGUUUUGACGUUACCAACAGAAGAAGCACCGGCUAACUUCGUG
rnacentral:rRNA from 1 species